AUUGAACGCUGGCGGCAUGCCUUACACAUGCAAGUCGAACGGCAGCACGGGUGCUUGCACCUGGUGGCGAGUGGCGAACGGGUGAGUAAUAUAUCGGAACGUACCUUAUCGUGGGGGAUAACGCAGCGAAAGUUGCGCUAAUACCGCAUACGCCCUGAGGGGGAAAGCGGGGGACCGUAAGGCCUCGCGCGAUUAGAGCGGCCGAUGUCUGAUUAGCUUGUUGGUGAGGUAAAAGCUCACCAAGGCGAUGAUCAGUAGCUGUCUGAGAGGACGAUCAGCCACACUGGGACUGAGACACGGCCCAGACUCCUACGGGAGGCAGCAGUGGGGAAUUUUGGACAAUGGGGGCAACCCUGAUCCAGCAAUGCCGCGUGAGUGAAGAAGGCCUUCGGGUUGUAAAGCUCUUUUGUCAGGGAAGAAACCGCAGCUCUAACACAGUCUGCGAAUGACGGUACCUGAAGAAUAAGCACCGGCUAACUACGUGCCAGCAGCCGCAGUAA
rnacentral:rRNA from 1 species